rnacentral:rRNA from 1 species
UACGAAGGGGUCUAGCGUUGCUCGGAAUGACUGGGCGUAAAGGGCGCGUAGGCGGCGCUCACAGUCAGAUGUGAAAUUCCUGGGCUUAACCUGGGGGCUGCAUUUGAUACGUGGUUGCUUGAGUGGGGAAGAGGGUCGUGGAAUUCCCAGUGUAGAGGUGAAAUUCGUAGAUAUUGGGAAGAACACCGGUGGCGAAGGCGGCGACCUGGUCCUUGACUGACGCUGAGGCGCGAAAGCGUGGGGAGCAAACAGG